rnacentral:rRNA from 1 species
CAGUAGCCGCGGUAAAACGAAGGGGGCUAGCGUUGUUCGGAAUCACUGGGCGUAAAGCGCACGUAGGCGGACUUUUAAGUCAGGGGUGAAAUCCCAAGGCUCAACCUUGGAACUGCCUUUGAUACUGGAAGUCUUGAGUUCGGGAGAGGUGAGUGGAACUGCGAGUGUAGAGGUGAAAUUCGUAGAUAUUCGCAAGAACACCAGUGGCGAAGGCGGCUCACUGGCCCGAUACUGACGCUGAGGUGCGAAAGCGUGGGGAGCAAACAGGAUUAGAUACCCCCGUAGUCCCUGUCUCUUAUAA